UACAGAGGUCUCAAGCGUUGUUCGGAUUCAUUGGGCGUAAAGGGUGCGUAGGCGGCGAGGUAAGUCGGAUGUGAAAUCCCGGGGCUCAACCCCGGAACUGCAUUCGAUACUGCUUUGCUUGAGUACUGGAGAGGAGACUGGAAUUUACGGUGUAGCAGUGAAAUGCGUAGAUAUCGUAAGGAAGACCAGUGGCGAAGGCGAGUCUCUGGACAGUUACUGACGCUGAGGCACGAAGGCCAGGGGAGUAAACGGG
rnacentral:rRNA from 1 species